CUGUUGUGUGUUUUCAGAGGAGUUGAGAUGACAAACUGUUGCAGAAGUACAUUGAAGCAAAUAAGUUCAAAGGGGCGUAACUCCUAGAAAUAAAAUUGAAUCGUAAUUUCCCGUCGAUAUGCACAACUACAUAGUAUGUCCUUAUUAUCUGAAAAGGUUUCAUGAAAUUCUGUUGUGUAGUUUCAGAGGAGUUGCGAUGACAAACU
rnacentral:lncRNA from 1 species